rnacentral:rRNA from 1 species
GCAGGCCUAACACAUGCAAGUCGAGCGGUAACAGGAAGAAGCUUGCUUCUUUGCUGACGAGCGGCGGACGGGUGAGUAAUGUAUAGGGAGUUGCCCGAUAGAAGGGGAUACCAGUUGGAAACGACUGUUAAUACCGCAUAAUGUCUACGGACCAAAGUGUGGGACCUUCGGGCCACAUGCUAUCGGAUGCACCUAUAUGGGAUUAGCUAGUUGGUGGGGUAACGGCCUACCAAGGCGACGAUCCCUAGCUGGUUUGAGAGGAUGAUCAGCCACACUGGAACUGAGACACGGUCCAGACUCCUACGGGAGGCAGCAGUGGGGAAUAUUGGACAAUGGGGGCAACCCUGAUCCAGCCAUGCCGCGUGUGUGAAGAAGGCUUUCGGGUUGUAAAGCACUUUCAGCGAGGAGGAAGGCCUUAAAGUUAAUACCUUUAAGGAUUGACGUUACUCGCAGAAGAAGCACCGGCUAACUCCGUGCCAGCAGCCGCGGUAAUACGGAGGGUGCAAGCGUU